GAGAAUCAAGUUACAUCAACAAAUCUUCUUGUUGGCUUGAAUUCUCUCCAUGAACAAAGAAACAUAAUUGCUUCAUCAUAUUAUCUUGCCAAAAUACCCUCAUAAGAUACUAUUGAUAAUUACAUACUCUAACCAAGUUUAGGCAUUGCCUAAACGUGCUAACAGGGAUCGCCCUAGUCAUCAUAUUUGCAGGAUUCUCAAGUGUAGACUACUUCUGCAUAACUUCAAUACCAUGUGAUAUAAUGUCUC
rnacentral:lncRNA from 1 species